UACGGGGGGGGCAAGCGUUGUUCGGAAUUACUGGGCGUAAAGGGCUCGUAGGCGGCCAACUAAGUCAGACGUGAAUUCCCUCGGCUUAACCGGGGAACUGCGUCUGAUACUGGAUGGCUUGAGAUUGGGAGAGGGAUGCGGAAUUCCAGGUGUAGCGGUGAAAUUCGUAGAUAUUCGGAAGAACACCAGUGGCGAAGGCGGCUCACUGGUCCGGUACUGACGCUGAGGUGCGAAAGCGUGGGGAGCAAACAGG
rnacentral:rRNA from 1 species